AAGCAACGCGAAGAACCUUACCAGAUCUUGACAUCCAAUUGACCAUCUUUUAAUCGAGAUUUUGCCUUCGGGUACAAUUGAGACAGGUGGUGCAUGGUUGUCGUCAGCUCGUGUCGUGAGAUGUUGGGUUAAGUCCCGCAACGAGCGCAACCCUUGUGUUUAGUUGCAAACAGGUCAAGCUGUGCACUCUAGACAGACUGCCGUGGACAACACGGAGGAAGGUGGGGAUGACGUCAAAUCAUCAUGCCCCUUAUGAUCUGGGCUACACACGUGCUACAAUGGUCGGUACAACGGGCAGCGAAGGAGCGAUCCGGAGCGAAUCCUAAAAAGCCGGUCCCAGUUCGGAUUGCAGUCUGCAACUCGACUGCAUGAAGUUGGAAUCGCUAGUAAUCGUGGAUCAGCCAAGCCGCGGUGAAUACGUUCCCGGGCCUU
rnacentral:rRNA from 1 species